UACAGAGGUCCCAAGCGUUGUUCGGAUUCACUGGGCGUAAAGGGUGCGUAGGCGGUCGGGUAAGUCUGAUGUGAAAUCUCACAGCUUAACUGUGAAACUGCAUUGGAUACUAUCCGGCUCGAGGAAUGGAGGGGAGACUGGAAUACUUGGUGUAGCAGUGAAAUGCGUGGAUAUCAAGUGGAACACCAGUGGCGAAGGCGAGUCUCUGGACAUUUCCUGACGCUGAGGCACGAAAGCCAGGGGAGCAAACGGG
rnacentral:rRNA from 1 species